GGGGGCUAGCGUUGUUCGGAAUUACUGGGCGUAAAGCGCGCGCAGGCGGCUAUCCAAGUCAGUGGUGAAAGCCCGGAGCUCAACUCCGGAACUGCCAUUGAAACUGUUUAGCUUGAGGAUGAGAGAGGUGAGUGGAAUUCCCAGUGUAGAGGUGAAAUUCGUAGAUAUUGGGAAGAACACCGGUGGCGAAGGCGGCUCACUGGCUCAUUACUGACGCUCAGGCGCGAUAGCGUGGGGAUCAAACAGG
rnacentral:rRNA from 1 species